UGUAUUAAAUGUUUUUAGAGACAUGAAAAUGAAUCUUCUGAGACAAUGUGUAAGAUCUGACCCUUCUUGAUGAGAAACGGCAACAGUACAAGAGCAUGAUUUCAUAGCUGAAUGCUGAGAUUGCUUAGCAGAAUGAAUUAAGAGAAAAGGAAAUGCCACUUGUUCAGGAUGUAGAAGCUAAAGUUAAAGAACUAACCCAGUUUUACUGCGUUGAUCUCUUACAUGACCAUUUUUUUUGAUGUUUUCAUGUUGUAGAAUGAGAAAGCAUUGGCCGCCUAGGAAGAUGCUACCCGCCUGGCCUUCUUCAACAAUGCACAAAAGCACUGCAAUGUGCUCAUGGGACGACUUUCAAAAUCCAAGGGUACUGUUGUCAUGUCCCAAAACAUGCACUCUUCUAACUUGAAAAGCUUUUGGUAAAUUUUGACUUCCUUGAUCUUCUAAGUUAGCUACCUUAAUUUUGUGUGGUAUACAUGACCAAAAUGGUUGAAAAAAGGGGGAGGAAAUGAGUUUGUUACAUCUCUAAGAAUGGAUUAAACUAGCUACUACUAAUUCUAAAUUAAAGAAACAAGUUGCAUCUCUCUAAGGAUUUAGAUGAUUUGAAAAAGGAGAAUGUUGUUUUAAAGGAAAA